rnacentral:lncRNA from 1 species
UAGCACAAAAUAUGAGUGAUUUUUUGGAGUCAAAUAUAUGAGUAAUUUACAAGCUCGUUCUUCGCGCUCAUCAUUUUUCUUUUGAAUAUCAAGAGUUUUGGGGCCGAGGUCCAUAAUCUCCAUAAGCUCAAAAUCACAGCAUGUCAUUUGAACUGGACUACUGGAGACCUCUAACACAAUGGUCAGGGUCCUUUCCAGUUAAGCUAAUGACCUUUGGUGCUCAUCCUUUUACGAUCUUCCUACAAGAUUCAAGGAACAUGACUCUCUAUUGAAGCUUAUUGGUUCUCUUCUUUCCUCUGUUUAUACUUGACAUAUCUCUUUCUUCCACUGUUUGGUGGCUUGUUGACUGCUGCCAUUGUGGCCUUUUCCAGUUGGCCCUUAGAGCAAGAGCAUCAGUGAACUCCCUCUUGGAGUUCAUCUUUUCAAUUUUUUAUUAUUAAAUUUUUUUCUUUUUCUUUUUGAUUUUUUAUUAAAAAGAAAAAACUAGACAAAUCGCAGGCCGCCACGACACGUGGGGUCUGCGCUACAGUGAUGAACUUUAGGAGAGAGGGGUUUACGCGAGAGAGGCGGGACGAGCCGAGGUCAUCGGUUAUGCUUAUUUUAAUAUUUUUUUUGUAAAACGUGCAACUCCCCCUGUGAAUCCCCGCUGCGCAUGCUCUUAAGUUGUUUUCUCUCUCGAUUAGUGUGCUUUUUUUUUUUCUUCUUAAAUUUUACAAUUUAUAACUCUUCAAUGGAUGUGAUUUUAUCCGUUUUGACAUGUUUCCAAAACACUGAAGUAGAUCUGAUUAGCAUAGGUAUCUCUCUCUGUAUCUAAGUUAAUGAUUAUAUUUGCAGUAUCCCCGAUAUUUAUGAAAUAGUUUGCUCCUUGUGUUCUUGAUUUUUUGUUUCUUUCAUUUGAGGGUACUUAUAUUUUAGAUUGCUUACUAAUUGACUCCAGUUUCAAACUUUUGGGUUGUUGGUCUUUUACUGGUUAUGAAUGUGUGAAAAGCUUCAUGUUCGUAAAUGUUGUAGGUGUUACAUGGUAGCAUUGAGCGACGACAAGAAGUUUUCUACCUUGGCACCACUCCGAGGCUUUGCGUUCAUUGCUGCAUGGGCAACUCUACUUUUUUAAAGAAUUUUAAAUCAUCUUUACUGUCAAUUUGUGGUCAUUCUUCUGCCUUAUCCUACUUAUGGAGAAGCUUUGUCCUUCUUAUGAACUCAAUGUUUUCUCCACAAAGAUUGCUUAAUAUAUAAAUGUAAUCACCAAUUAUGUUAGCUACGUGCUUUGCUUGUUGAAUU